UUAGAUCGUCCCAGUUUAGAGAGGUGAUAGAUCCUGUGAAUUUUACUAACCCUCGUCGUGAAAUUGAACCAAAUAUCGAAAAUCUGGCAUUCAAUAUUAAAAGAAAAUUUAUUAUAAAAAAGAAAAAAAGGAAAUAAUGAUCAUUACAAUAAGAUUAUAAUAUGUUAGUGAAUUAUAAAAGAAAUUAACUAUGAUAAAAACAUAUAAAAUAAAAACAUAAAACAAAAAUAUAAAGCACAGCAAAAUAUCGCAACGAGUCGCCAACGAAUUAGCAAAUUAACGAUCAGUCAAGAUGUCAAGAACAAUUCACGAGAAAUCGCUACUCGUUGCAAUAUACGCGUUGCACGCGCCGCUUAAUCGAUCAAUUACCCUGUGGAAAAGUCGUACACGUGCAGUGACGAAUACGUUGUUGCAAAGUAGAUUGAUUUAAACAUGAAUUUAAUGAAACUGUUUGGAAAAUCAAAGAAAUCGAGAUAUGUUCGAGUCGAAGGAAUAACGCGAAACUCACUAAAAGAACAAGUGCGCAACUAGCUGCCAACUAACCCCCACCACCAGCUACGCAACCCCAGAAACCGCAACGCGACUCGAGCUGCUGCAGUGCGCAACAACCCCUCAACUGACCGACACCGAUCUUGUGAAAUUUAAAGCAAAUAUACAACCUAUGCUCCAGAUAUCAAUGGCACAUGAAUAUCUAUUGGCACCAAGAAGAAUUUCUGGAGCUCUAUACCAUAAAGUGACUACUUCAUGUGUAUAUACUCUAACUGGUAUUCCAAAUGCUCUUCCAAGUCCAAAAUCUGCUACCUUGAUCAAUCCUGAUUUGUCAAUCAAUAAAUUUUGUGGUUUCAGAUCACGAUGAAAUAUUCUACGUUUAUGACAGAAUAAAAUAGCACGUGUAAUCUAAAAAAAGGAUUACAUAUAUUUUAACUUUUAUAAAAUAUUUUGAUAUUUAUUAAUUCAUAUUAUAAAAUAAUUUUAUGUGUAAUAAUAAUUUAUGUAUAAUUAUAUAUAAAUAAUAUUAUAAUAAUAUUAUUGUAAUAAAAUUAUUAUAUUUUAUAUUAUAUAUUAAAAUAAUUUCAAACCUGA